CCUACGGGAGGCUGCAGUGGGGAAUAUUGGACAAUGGGGGGAACCCUGAUCCAGCCAUGCCGCGUGUGUGAAGAAGGCCUUUUGGUUGUAAAGCACUUUAAGCGAGGAGGAGGAGCUCUAGAUUAAUACUCUAGAUGCUUGGACGUUACUCGCAGAAUAAGCACCGGCUAACUCUGUGCCAGCAGCCGCGGUAAUACAGAGGGUGCAAGCGUUAAUCGGAUUUACUGGGCGUAAAGCGUGCGUAGGUGGUCUUUUAAGUCGGAUGUGAAAUCCCUGAGCUUAACUUAGGAAUUGCAUUCGAUACUGGGAGACUAGAGUAUGGGAGAGGAUGGUAGAAUUCCAGGUGUAGCGGUGAAAUGCGUAGAGAUCUGGAGGAAUACCGAUGGCGAAGGCAGCCAUCUGGCCUAAUACUGACACUGAGGUACGAAAGCAUGGGGAGCAAACAGGAUUAGAUACCCUAGUAGUC
rnacentral:rRNA from 1 species